rfam:Haemophilus parasuis SH0165, complete genome.
CGCGGGGUGGAGCAGCUUGGUAGCUCGUCGGGCUCAUAACCCGAAGGUCGUCGGUUCAAAUCCGGCUCCCGCAA